CUGUCAACGAUCCUCGCUGGGUGCCUUUUGAAGUCUUUGACUCGUUCCCCUUCAAAGGCUACUACCACCCUUUAGAAGCAUGGUGUCCAUCCCUCCAGCAGAAGAGCAGAAAAUCAGCAUCAUCAUAGCAUCUUUGGUAUUUGAAGUGAAUCAUGUGAUCCCCAAGGCCCAAGCACCACAACAAUUUCGCAAAACAAGGGUGGAGUAUGCAGAGUGCGCAUUCAUUUAUGUGCUAAUGUGAGGACUGGAGAUAGAGCGCCAAGCCAUGAUCCUUUGGCACGUCAGUACAACCCUUUGAACCAUCCUUCAUACGAA
rnacentral:lncRNA from 1 species